AUCUUUUAUUGGGUCAUUUUGUUUCCGGACUCCCAUUUUUCUUUCUUCAUUCUACUUCUUUCAGCUUCUCUUUUACUGUAUGUAUGCUAAUUUUGUUCUCUUUUUGCAUUAUUCUCUAUCCGGACUUCUUACAGAUUCUGAAUUUUAGAUACAUAGAUUUCACACCCUAAUCUUUCUCAGUACAUUCUACUGCUCAAGUUUAAGAAUUUCUUAAAUUUCUUCUACUUGAUAAUCAAGUCUUGAUCUAUCAGUUCUUCAAUAUUUCAAAGUGAGCUCUUGGAUUUGGCGUGGUAUAAUUUUUCUCAGUUUCGAGCAUUAUGAUACGCUUUCGCCAAGGUGUUUGAAGAUCUGUCUGACUCAUUUUAAAGAAAAAGAAAUUGGAUGCUUAAGGCCACAUUUCAUCAAGACCUCUUCAAAUUUGCUUUGUUAUCUGAUUAACAUUUCCCAUGAUGACUACACCUACGUGGCUUUGAGGUGAGUGUUUUACCUUUUCUUUAAGCUCUCUGUUACUUUUAAUAUAUAACGUGUGUCAUAUAUUUUUUGUGCUGUAAGAAUAUCUAUUGGCAAAGGAAAGCUUAACCUAAAGAAAUAUUGUUGGGUACACCGACAGCAGAUUCAAACUUUUGAGUAUAACCUUUAGACCAACCAAAAAGUUGGAAGGAAGUGCUAAAAAAGCUGAUACAAGAUCUAAAGAUGAGGUCUCCCUUCAAUCCUGCUAUGCUUAUUACAAGAAGUAAUUUUAUUAGUACGAGCAUUUUAAACUUUUCAGUGUUUUAAGCUUUUAGUAUAUUUCAGCUAUAUCUUAAGAUAUCCGUGCACUUCUGCACAUGGCCUUUUUUAGUUUGGUUGAAAUGGUAAUUCCAAAUUUCAUCCGGCAAAGAAUGUAUAAACUCCUCCACAAGCACUGUUUCAAUAUUCUUUUGUAGUUCAGACUAAACAAAUGACCUAUCACAAUACUGCUGAAAUUCAUGCGUCAUUUCAGGAAAUAAAUGUGAUCUUAGUUUCUGGUAAGUGCUCUUUCUAAUUAAAUGGCUGCCGAGACGCACUUUGAUAAUCUAUCUUUAUUUCGGAACUAUGGAGUUUCCCGAUGAAGCUUGGUCUAACUCAUAUUCUAUAAGGAGGAUCUUCACUUAGCAUUAGAGAAAAUUUAAUUAUGUGUUCUGUGUGUUGCUACAGGAUAAUUGAGACCAUAAUUGGCUGCAAUCGUGCCACUUUCUGUGCCAACAGAUUUGUGCUUCUCUCAAUUUUAGCUUCCAAUUUUCACUUUCUUUUUCCCAUGGUGCUUAUUAGUUCAAGAAAGAAUCUGUACUAUUUUCAUGACUUCUAAGAUUAGUUUGAAUUAGAAGAUCAUUGCAUUUGGACAAAAUUGUAUUUGAUUGGAAUGAGAUGAAGUUGUCAGGUUUAGAUUUUAAUAUCCUAGGGUGAAAAUAAUGUGUAGUAUUUUACUAUGAGCUAUAAGAGCAUACUCAGAAAGCAAUACUCAUUCAAUUAAUUUCUCACAACAGUUUUUCAAUAAAGGAACAAAACCAACAAUAUACCCCCUUCACACAGGGAUCUUAUAUUCCUUCCUAGCCUCUGCAUUCUUCCAUUUAAUCCUCACUCAAAUCAAAACUCCCCACACCCCCAAAGAGCAAGAAGGAGGUGAUGAUGUGAUUCCUUAUGUACCUGUGUCUGUAUCGCUUGACAAGUAUACCUAUUAAUCAGUUAACUCACUUAACUAAGCUUGCACUUCCAUUCAAACAUACAAUGACAUUAGACAGAGUAAUCUUACCUAUGUCCAAGAUAUCUAACAACUACAUUUCACAAUUGAAACAGGGUAAGCUGGUCGACUUAAAUCUGAUACGGCCAAAAGCUCUUCAAGAACUAUAUGAAUCCCAAAAAGUUGCUUUCAUUUUUAGUGUUUAUUUCUGAAGUAUUAUGUAAGAAGUGGAAAAUUGGUGUGGAGGUCCGUUGUUAACUUCGGAAGACAAUUUUUAUACGUGAGAGAUGAGAUUCCCGAAGUUGAAAAUGUACCCAUACAUGUGAAGGAUGUUCCACAAAAGUUGUUUGUUUAGUUUACAAGAAUCUUCACUAAAGGGGAUGAUAAAUGUGCAUCAAGUCGUACAUGUUUGGAAUAGGCAUGGAGAAGUCAUGCAGAACAAUGAUACCAUUUUCUCCAAGGUAUAGUUGCAAGUCAGUUGUGAGAGCUCAUAAACAGACUUUUAGAUCGAGUUGGAUGAAUGUGCAACUCUCCAAAAGCAUGCUUUGCAGGGUGGGAGAAAUGCAAGUCUAUUAAGGAACUGAAACGUAUUUGUAAGAAAUAAGAAUAUCAGUUUGCAUUGCAAGGGAUUUAUGAAAUCGGAAAACUUUUAAAUGUAUUUUUGAAGAAAAAUCUACUACUGUACAGUCUUUGAAGUUCACGUCUUAGUUUAUUAGAUCUCUGGUGUAAGUAACAUUUUAUAGUCAUGAAUAUAUAUAUAUAUGACAGAAUUUUUUUUGUA